rnacentral:lncRNA from 1 species
UUAUGAUGAAAUUAAUAACCAGCAUAUAUAGGAAUUAAUAUUAUAUUUUAACAUUUAUUUUAAUUUCUUCAUGUCUUCCUUUUUUAUAGGGUUGCAGGUUGAUGACCAUGACCUUCACUCUAUUCUUGAAAACAUGGCAAUCAAACCUACAGUUGAGGAGCUUAAUGAUCUUACUCCCAAUCUACCAGUUGAUGCUAAUGGGAAGUUUGGUGUCAGUAUCUUAACAGAUGGAAUGGAUGGAGUAAAAGCUAUCACAGGAGGAAAGGUUAAUGUGAGUAAUUCGGACAGCGUUCUGGGAGAAAUGAGAAUUAAGCUCCCAGAAAAGGAACAGGAAAAACUAACAGAAAACCUGCUACUUAAUGAAGAGAUUAUUGAUGUCAAUAAAGUGGUACUCCUUUGCAAAAUAUGGGGAUGAACUUUUCAGAAAAGGAAAUUAAUGAUCUGAUACAUGAUCUACCAGUUGAUGUCUCUUCUCCCAAGGAGGAAUUGUUGAUAUCGCUGAAUUAGACACUGCUUUGCAAAACAUGGGAAUUAAACUCACAGGAAUGGAAAGUAACCAUUUGUUAAAGAACCUACCUGUUGAUGGUGAGUAAGCAUAUACAUUUUUAUACUACUAAUUAUAACUUGAGGUGUGAGCUUAUUUUUUUUGUGCAAAUUUGUGAAACUUUAUUCUUAUUAAUUUUUUUAAAUUUAAAUUCAAUUUGCUAACAUAAAGUAUAUUACCCAGUGCUCAUCCCAUCAUGUGCCCUCCUUAGUGCCCAUCUCACAGUCACCCCUUCCCCGUUCCCCUUCCGCAACCUUUUCUUUGUUUCCCAGAGUUAGGAGUCUCUCAUGGUUUGUCUUCCUCUCUAAUUUUUCCCCACUCAGUUUCAAACUUGUGAAACUUUAAAAUAAGAAUUAAAAAUUCAAAAUAAAUUCUCAUCUGCACUUUCUCCUCUAUUUUUUUAUAAAUUUAUUUUUUAUUGGUGUUCAAUUUGCCAACAUAUAGAAUAACACCAAGUGCUCA